AUGGCGGGACGUUUAAACUCUAGAAGAGAACCAUGGAAAAAUGUAUUUUCUCAGGGAGAGACGUAUGCCUUCCCAAGGGAUGACAACGCAUUUUGCCUGAUGUGGACCAUACCUGGGUGUCCAAGGCGUUGUUCAGGUGGUCGGGGAAUGGGAUUCCAGAGAUGGACUUUGCCAGGGUUGACAAAAUGUGGUGGGACCGCCCUCCACCACCAUCUGCAGCUCAGUAGAGAUGGAGAGGUACUUUGCCCGUCCUCUGCUGCUCUGGAUGCCCAGGUAGCUCAGACUACUCCACCACCAGCUGGUUCUCUGUCCGUGGCCUUGACACCUGUGCCCUGCUGGACCUCUGUUCAUGAUCUCCACAUCUGUGCCCGGCUGGGCCUCUGUUCAUGAUCUCCACGCCCGUGCCCAGCUGACACUCAGUCAGCCCUGUCCUCUGCUCCUUAUGGGCUGGGCAUUCUGAUGGAGCCAGCAAUCAGUCGCUCUCCAUUUUCAGUUAAUUAUAUAUAAUUGUAAUUAUUUGUGUUCAAUUGUUUGUCCCUCUGUGGUGUUUAUUUAACUGUAUAUACAGCAUCAUUUGUCAUUGAUGUAUUACUCAUAAGUAUUCUCCCCUGACUCUUAAUUCACUCUGAGCACAAAAGCCCUUUUAGAAUUAGAAUUCUCUAAUUACAUUUUUGUUCAAUUAAUGUCAGUCUUCGAAUGCUCCAUUGUAUAAACUAUUUAAUUGUCCUGCUUGUGUGCCUUGUGGACUGAUUUCAAACAAUUAAGAGUAUAUUUGUCAUUCUCACGUCUUCCUCCAAUUCUGUGUCUU
rnacentral:lncRNA from 8 species